rnacentral:tRNA from 1 species
GGCUGGUUGGUCUAGGGGUAUGAGUCUUGCUCAGGGUACAAGAGGUCUGGGGUUCAUAUCCUGAAUGAACCU